rnacentral:rRNA from 1 species
AACGAACGCUGGCGGCAUGCCUAACACAUGCAAGUCGAACGAGACCUUCGGGUCUAGUGGCGCACGGGUGCGUAACGCGUGGGAAUCUGCCCUUCGGUUCGGAACAACAGUUAGAAUGACUGCUAAUACCGGAUAAUGACGUAAGUCCAAAGAUUUAUCGCCGAAGGAUGAGCCCGCGUAAGAUUAGGUAGUUGGUGGGGUAAUGGCCUACCAAGCCGACGAUCUUUAGCUGGUCUGAGAGGACGAUCAGCCACACUGGGACUGAGACACGGCCCAGACUCCUACGGGAGGCAGCAGUGGGGAAUAUUGGACAAUGGGCGAAAGCCUGAUCCAGCAAUGCCGCGUGAGUGAUGAAGGCCUUAGGGUUGGUAAAGCUCUUUUACCAGGGAUGAUAAUGACAGUACCU